rnacentral:rRNA from 1 species
CGGCGAACGGGUGAGUAACACGUGGGUGAUCUGCCCUGCACUUCGGGAUAAGCCUGGGAAACUGGGUCUAAUACCGGAUAUGACCUCCUGUUGCAUGACUUGGGGUGGAAAGAUUUAUCGGUGCAGGAUGGGCCCGCGGCCUAUCAGCUUGUUGGUGGGGUAAUGGCCUACCAAGGCGACGACGGGUAGCCGACCUGAGAGGGUGACCGGCCACACUGGGACUGAGACACGGCCCAGACUCCUACGGGAGGCAGCAGUGGGGAAUAUUGCACAAUGGGCGAAAGCCUGAUGCAGCGACGCCGCGUGAGGGAUGACGGCCUUCGGGUUGUAAACCUCUUUCAGCAGGGACGAAGCGCAAGUGACGGUACCUGCAGAAGAAGCACCGGCUAACUCCGUGCCAGCAGC